CCUUCGGAACCAAGGAAUACAACGCUUUGCGAUGCUUGGUUGGCCGUUAGCAGCAAAAUAUUUAAUCCUUUCUGAACAUACUCUUGCUCAGUGGAGACGGGUGGGGUUCUUUAUCGAACAAAAAAAGAAAAUAAAUCAAUAAAACUCGAAUAGUUAUACCAACUAUAUUAUCCAAAUUAAACAACCUAUCAAGUUCGAUAAUCCUCAACAAAAUCAAAUAAAUGUUAAUUGCUUGUCGUUGACAAUUGACAGGGUGACAAUGUUGUGGAACCGGAACUGGAUAAAUAUCUCAAAAUAAGAGUCCGUCGAUGAAAAACGUUUGACAGUUGGGGAAAUCGCAAUUAUGAAUGAUGGCUAGCCUGAUUUCAGUAAGGAAAAGAGUGAGAGGAGUGACAGGAAAAGAAAGAAAAAGAGGGGCUAUGGUGUAAACAGGGGUCAAAGGUCGAUCUUCAUGUAAAUAUUGCAUGAGAUGCAAAAAUGCAAUCUUGUAAAUUGUAUGGUAAUAUUAUGUUCUUGAGGCAAUUAUUCGUCAUAAAUGUACUAGUUACAUGCGCUAAAUUCCUUAACCUUUUAGUAUAUAUACUGAAAGUGUACACUGUUAACGCUAGAGGAAAUGAGGAUGUGACUGAACUAAUGGUCUAGCACAACUUGAUAACUGUACAACUAUAAAGAAAGA